CGAGGGUGCGCCCUGCCCACGCGCUGCUGUGGCUUUUCAGCGUGAGGUGCCCGCGUUCCUGUCUCAGUCGCCAGAGCCGAGUGGAAAUGCAGAUUUCCAGCUUCUAACCCCUUUUCCCUGCCUGCUGAAUAAAAACCUAAGAGCAUUUACAGAAUACAGACUAUGUACCCAACAUGGAGCUAGGUGAUAGAAAUACAGGGGAAUGUUGAUAUCAAUCGUGAGCACCCAGAAAUGAUUCAUAGAAAAGAACUUUAGUUUAAGAAGACCGUUAAAGAUUUAUGAAGCUAACAAGGAACUAGAAGGAAGACGUAGAAGCUGCAAACACCAGCACAAGAACGAGCACCAGACAUUUGAAAAGCUGGAAAAAGCUGUGUGUGCAAAGGAGGUGUGAGCGAUGAGAAAUAUUUCUGCAUAGAGAAAUAUGCAGAACCCAGAUCACAGAGGAAUUUCUAAAUCAUUCUUAGGAGUUUAUCAAGCAAUGAAGCUAAUGAACGGUUUUAAGCAGAAAAAAUAUAAAAAUUACACAAUAAAUCAGACCAUUUCGAAAUGC